rnacentral:rRNA from 1 species
UACGUAGGGGGCAAGCGUUGUCCGGAAUUAUUGGGCGUAAAGAGCGUGUAGGCGGUCCGGUAAGUCAGCUGUGAAAGUCAAGGGCUCAACCCUUGAAUGCCGGUUGAUACUGUCGGGCUAGAGUCCGGAAGAGGCGAGUGGAAUUCCCGGUGUAGCGGUGAAAUGCGCAGAUAUCGGGAGGAACACCAAUGGCGAAGGCAGCUCGCUGGGACGGUACUGACGCUGAGACGCGAAAGCUAGGGGAGCAAACGGG